rnacentral:rRNA from 1 species
GUCAACGGUCAAACUACGCAUGUACAAUACCGGUUCUCGUCCGAUCACCGAAGUCAAGAUGCGUUGGGCACGGUUAGUACUUAGAUGGGUGUUCUCAUUUUUUAAUAGUUCGUGUUAUUGUACAUU